rnacentral:rRNA from 1 species
UACGAGCGCACCCUUGUCCUUAGUUACCAGCACGUAAUGGUGGGCACUCUAAGGAGACUGCCGGUGACAAACCGGAGGAAGGUGGGGAUGACGUCAAGUCAUCAUGGCCCUUACGGCCAGGGCUACACACGUGCUACAAUGGUCGGUACAAAGGGUUGCCAAGCCGCGAGGUGGAGCUAAUCCCAUAAAACCGAUCGUAGUCCGGAUCGCAGUCUGCAACUCGACUGCGUGAAGUCGGAAUCGCUAGUAAUCGUGAAUCAGAAUGUCACGGUGAAUACGUUCCCGGGCCUUGCACACACCGCCCGU